rnacentral:rRNA from 1 species
UACGGAGGGUGCAAGCGUUAUCCGGAUUUACUGGGUUAAAGGGAGCGCAGGCGGAUUAGUAAGUCAGUGGUGAAAGCCUUGAGCUUAACUCGAGAACUGCCAUUGAUACUAUUAGUCUUGAAUGUUGUUGAGGUUUGCGGAAUGGGUCAUGUAGCGGUGAAAUGCAUAGAUAUGACCCGGAACACCUAUUGCGAAGGCAGCAGGCUAAACAAUAUUGACGCUGAGGCUCGAAAGCGUGGGGAUCAAACAGG